GCUUUUAUUAAUUUAUCAGGAAAUAUGUUGCACUUAACAACUAUUAAUCUCAAUCAAAGAGAGAGAAAGAGAAGGAAACAUUUACAUUUCAAGUUCCAUUCUAUUCGUAGAAUUCGAGUCUCUUUUGACCAUAAAUAGAAAACCUAAUUAUAGCUUAUGCAGUUUGAGCACUCAUGUGAAGUGCUACCAGGGAGGCGUAGAAACCAUCUUUGAUGUUGAUCAGAGUCUCAUGCCUUCCUUUCUCCACAAUAACUCCAUUCUUAACCACUGCAAUAACAUCUGCA
rnacentral:misc_RNA from 1 species